ensembl:lncRNA novel transcript
GGCAACCCGCUGGGAUCCCUUUCCACGCUGUGGAAGCUUUGUUCUUUUGCUCUUUGCAAUAAAUCUUGCUACUGCUCACUCUGUAGGUCCACGCUGCCUUUAUGAGCUGUAACACUCACCGCGAAGGUCUGCAGCUUCACUCCUGAAGCCAGCGAGACUACGAGCCCACCGGGAGGAACAGACAACUCCAGACGCGCCGCCCUAAGAACUGUAACACUCACCGCGAAGGUCUGCAGCUUCACCCCUAAGCCAGCGAGACCACGAACCCACCAGAAGGAAGAAACUCUGAACACAUCUGAACAUCAGAAGGAACAAACUCUGGACACGCUGUCUUUAAGAACUGUAACACUCACCGCGAGGGUCCGCGGCUUCAUUCUUGAAGUCAGUGAGACCAAGAACCCACCAAUUCCGGACACAGGAGGAUCGCUUGAGCCCAGGAAUUCAAGACCAGCCUGGGCAACCCAGCAACACUCCAUCUCUACAGAAGUUGUAAAAUUAGCUGGGCGUGAUGGGGCGCAUCUGUAGUCCUAGCUACUUAUCCUAGCCUUGGCGAGAGGAUCACUUGAGCCCAGGAGGUUAAGGCUGCAGUGAGCCAUGAUUGCACCACUGCACUCCAGCCGGGGUAACAAAGUCAGACCGUGUCUCUAAAAAUAAAUAAAUAAAUAAAAAUAAAAUAAAUUUGACAACCAAGUUUAAA